rnacentral:rRNA from 1 species
UACAGAGGUCUCAAGCGUUGUUCGGAUUCAUUGGGCGUAAAGGGCGCGUAGGCGGCUCGCUAAGUCGGAUGUGAAAACUCUGGGCUCAACCCAGAGCCUGCAUUCGAAACUGACGAGCUGGAGUUCUGGAGGGGAAAGCGGAAUUCCUGGUGUAGCGGUGAAAUGCGUAGAUAUCAGGAGGAACACCGGUGGCGAAGGCGGCUUCUGGACAGAAACUGACGCUGAUGCGCGAAAGCUAGGGGAGCGAAUGGG